AAUAUUGCGCAAUGGAGGGAACUCUGACGCAGCGACGCCGCGUGAGCGAUGAAGGUCUUCGGUUCGUAAAGCUCUGUCCUUGGGGAAGAAGGGGGCAUUAUAGCACCUUGACGGUACCCGAUGAGGAAGCCGCGGCCAACUACAUGCCAGCACCCGCGGUAAUACGUAGGGCGCAAGCGUUGUCCGGAAUUAUUGGGCGUAAAGGGUGCGUAGGCGGCCUUUUAAGUCAGGUGUGAAAGCCCACGGCUUAACCGUGGGAUUGCAUUUGAAACUGGAAGGCUUGAGUAUCGGAGAGGGUAGUGGAAUUCCCAGUGUAGCGGUGAAAUGCGUAGAUAUUGGGAGGAACACCAGUGGCGAAGGCGACUACCUGGACGAAAACUGACGCUGAUGCACGAAAGCUAGGGGAGCAAAC
rnacentral:rRNA from 1 species